rnacentral:rRNA from 1 species
UACAGAGGUCCCGAGCGUUGUUCGGAUUCACUGGGCGUAAAGGGUGCGUAGGUGGUGGGGUAAGUCUGGUGUGAAAGCUCGCAGCUCAACUGCGAAACGGCACUGGAAACUACCCUGCUGGAGGGUUGGAGGGGGGACUGGAAUACUUGGUGUAGCAGUGAAAUGCGUAGAUAUUGGGAAGAACACCAGUGGCGAAAGCGGACUUCUGGGUUGUUACUGACGCUGAGGUACGAAAGCGUGGGGAGCAAACGGG